UCCGCGCGCGACCCCCACCAACCCCCGCCCGGUGAAGCCGCAGUACGCAGGCGCUGGAGCCUCCCCACUGAGGGCAGGCGUGUCAAGGCUGCACACGGGUGCGUGUCCUGGUGGGCGCCCCAAAGGCAGCUCGUGGGUUUCCGGUUCCGGGAGUAACCAACCGCCGCAGAGUCGGCAACUAGUGCUUUGGAGGAUCCUGCGGUGGAGGAAGAAGAAGACUGGACCGGGCGGGACGCGCGGGGCGGGAUCCUCCCCAUGGGUCCACGGGCCUAGCGCAGUGGACGCCCAGGGCCUCGUGUCCAGCUGGCUUCUCUUCUUUCCUGAAGCAUCUAUGGCUGAGGACUGGCAGGACUGCCCAGCCCUGGGCCCUGGCUGGAAGCGUCGUGAGUCCUUUCGAAAGUCAGGGGCCUCUUGUGGACGCUCAGACAUCUAUUAUCAGAGUCCCACAGGCGACAAGAUUCGAAGCAAGGUUGAGCUGACUCGAUACCUAGGCCCUGCAUGUGAUCUCACCCUCUUUGACUUCAGACAAGGCAUCUUGUGCUACCCGGCUCCCAAGACCCAUCCCUUGCCUGUCCCCAGCAAGAAGAAAAAGAAGCCACCAGCCAAGGUUAAGAAGCAUCAGGGUGGGCUGCAGAAGAGUGAUGUCCGGAAGGCGGCCCCGCGGGCUGAGAAUGCGGCUGGCACUGGCACAGCUCCAGCUUCGUUACCUGUACCUGGUCGCUGUGAGAAUUGUGGAAUCCACUUCCCAUGGGAUGGUAUCAGAAGGCAGAGGCUCAAGACAUUAUGCGAAGACUGCCGAGCACAGAGAAUUGCCUUCAACCGAGAACAGAGAAUGUUUAAGAGAGUUGGCUGUGGAGAGUGUACAGCUUGCCUGGUGAAAGAAGACUGUGGGGCUUGCUCCAUCUGCCGCCUGCAGCUGCCCCAUGAUGUGGCCUCAGGGCUCUACUGCAAGUGUGAGCGCAGACGCUGCCUCCGGAUUGUGGAGAAGAGCCGAGGGUGUGGAGUAUGUCGGGGUUGUCAGAACCAAGAGGACUGUGGCCGUUGCCGAUUCUGCCUUCGCCCUCCCCGCCCUGGUCUCAAGCGCCAGUGGAGAUGUUUGCAGCGGCGAUGCUUGUGGGGUAAACGUGACCAUCGUAAGAGUAGCUCGCAGGUUGCUGCCCAACGUCACUCCCAAGCUCAGCCAGUGCCUCCACUUCCCGCACUGCAGCACCCAGAGCCCACAGAGCUGCACAUCAGCGACCUAGCGCCCUCAUCACCUGCUGAGUUCAUCUAUUACUGUGUAGACGAGGACGAGCUACAGCCCUACACGAAUCACCGGCAGAACCGCAAGUGCGGGGCCUGUGCAGCCUGCCUACGGCGGAUGGACUGUGGCCACUGCGACUUCUGCUGCGACAAGCCCAAAUUCGGGGGCAGCAACCAGAAGCGCCAGAAGUGUCGUUGGCGCCAAUGCCUGCAAUUUGCCAUGAAGCGACUGCUGCCCAGUACUGGGUCAGAGUCUGAGGAGGGAGCAGGAUCGCCUCCAUGUCACCCUUGUCGAAAGAGGCCUGGUUCUCCUCGCCAGCUCCAUCCAAGCCCUUCUUCAAAGGCCCCUUUGGCUGUGCACACAACCCCACCAUGCCCUGCCCAGGCUUCAGCGAAGCAGCAAACAGGUAGAGGCUUUAUGCCGACCCCACCUGACACAGACCUUGUGUUUUUACGAGAGGGCGCCAGCAGUCCUCUGCAGGUGCCUGGUCCUGCUGCAGCUUCCUCAAAAGCCCCGUUACAGGAGGCCCAAUGCUCUGCCCAGAGUUGGGUUGUGACCUUGCCACAGGUGAAGCAAGAGAAGGCGGAUGCCCCAGAGGAGUGGACAGCAGGCACAGCCUUCCUGACUUCUCCCACGUUGCAGCCUGGCUGCCCUAGCAAGGUUAGGGAGGCAGUAGACCCAGACCUUCAACCUGUGAAACAAGAGCCCCCUGGCCCUGAGGAGGACAGAGAAGAAAACAGAGAAGAUUAUGUUUCUGCAUCAGCCCCAGAGGAGGAGGCAGGAGGGGUUGGCACACCAGUGAUCACGGAGAUUUUCAGCCUGGGUGGAACCCGCCUACGGGACAUAGCAGCCUGGUGGCCAAGGUGUGCCCCAUACAGUCCAAGGACCUUAAAAAACCUGAAGCUAAAAUGCAGUAGACUGGAGACUUCUGCUGCCUAUAGGACUGAAGGUGAUAUCUGCACACCGGCUCUAUGAGAAACAACCCUGAUCUACCAGGGGCUGGGCCCAGGCCUGGUUGCAGGGCUUGUUUGUGAAUCAACUCUAGGAGAAAGACCUGCAAGCACAAUCGAGGAACAGGCCUGCCCAGGCCUUGAAGCUUAGAGGAAAGAAGCUGGAGAGGAAGAGAAGAGUAGAAGGCUAGGAGAACGUCCGCUCCUCCAAGGAUCUCAGUGUGAUGAGAAGGUGGAUGGAGGGGAGGGGAGGAUAUGAUCGGAGCCACUACCAACAACUCAAACAAGCCAUCUUCAUAACUGUUGGUGGCUUCCGGAUGAGACCUGGCAGUGUGUCUGCACAUUUUCUCAGGGAAACAGCAGUUGAAAUGCUACAGAAUAAAGGAGGAAAAGGCAUUGUUUGGUGAGCUCCUCCCGUGGAGCCACUUACUGAACCCUCACAGUAGUCCUUAGGAAGACAGUGAGUGAUAUUGAGCACUUCUGCAGGUAGGUAAACAGACUCAGAAGAGACAUAUGUACCAGUGUCAAACAGCUAGUGUUGGUAGAGUCUAGAAAUCCACCAGGCUAUACAAACUUUGUUCUUUAAUCCACUAAACUGUUAACUGCAAUCUUUUGUGCAAUAAUGUAUAUUACAAUAACAGUUUUAGUGACUUUGAAAGUAGCAGUAGAUCACUAUGAAGAGUAUAAAAUAUCCUUUACACCUUUGCCUCAGUUGAUGUUAGGGAAUGCCUAGACUGUGGGUGGAUGGGGUCACCUUCUCGUCAGAGCAUUGGUUCAUGUAGAAUCUAGGUUCCCUGAAGGCCCCAGAUGCUGCAUAGGAUCCCUCAGCCCCCAAAGUGUGUUCUUCCUCACUGCUGGCUGACAAUUUGCUUGAGCCCAGAUGGUCUCACUUUAGCCAGAACAGUGCUUGAAACUAAAGCUGUCAGCCUGGGCCGUCUUUUCCAGGCAGUAUCUUCUCUCUGAUGACCUUUGUGCAUGUUUCCUGCCCUCAGCCCAAAUGUUUGUUAGGAGGCUGAAUGAGCUUAUGCACUGAGUCCCGCCAAGGGCCAGUCUUGGCACAGCCUUACCUCACUUUCCAUCCUUAAAAUGCCAAAAAGAUAUAGAACUGGUUACUUAGCCAGGUUUACAGGGCCAGGACUGAGUGCCUCGACAUACUUUGUGUCCUAUGUGCCCCCCUUGCUUUAGCCUAGUCCCAAGUCCUGCUGCUUUAGGUAAUUCAGAUGUGGAUUACUCAUUUCUUAUUUCUAACUCACAAGGCACAGCUCUCUGCCACCGUCUACUCUUCCUUUGCCUUGCUUUGCCUGGUUCUAUCCUGGAGUCAUACUGCUUUUUAAGCCCUAGAGCACACCACUUGUCCCUAGCAUUCUGAUAAUUCUGACAGUGAUGUUCUAAGGGUAAUGUCUUUGGUUGGCAUUUGACUUGUGAACAGAGAUUCUGAUUACUAUGUGUAUUGACUAGGGUAUAGUCAAAAAAGGUCAGAACCACUACAACAAAGACCAAUGUAUGUGUUUUAAGGGAGUUUUGGGAGACAUUUUACAUUAUGUAAUUUUGGGAGAUAGUUUAGUAGCCCCUAAGACUGUCAGUUGUUUGUAAUACUGGAGCUCAAAGUAUUCAGGACAGGCAGUGAGGAAGGGGAGGUGGAUGGACCCAUGGGAGCCCAUGAACAAGAGUUGGAAUUCAAGAUGGCCUGAAAUCCAUGUUAGUGUCUCACCGUCUCCCACUUUGAUGAUGUUUGUGUCCUGAAGAAGAAGCUAGUGGAAGUAGCAUCUGGCCUAGGACUAGAGAAGCUGAAGGAAGAUCCCAGGGAAGUUGUAGCAGCUGGAGGCCUGGCUGUAGGAUUUGCUGUUUCCCCAUAGCAAGGCUACAUAAGCUGUUAGCAGUAAAUGAAAAUGAGUAUUUUACUGAGCUGCAGUUGAAAGAAGAAAUAUUGUAGGCGAGAAAACAAUUAUUAAGAGAAGAAAGACAUUCUUUUAUGGCUGAAAAGCUGAACCCAGAAUUCAGGAAAUGGACCCCAAGUCUAGAGAUGUACCGUAUAGAAAAUCUGAAGUGGCGGGGUUACAAAUAAUUAAGCAUGCUAAUUUGAAAAAACCGACCUUAAGAGGGCAUAUCCAUAGUCGCACUAAAACUAGUAGUGUCCACCAGUAACCUUGUCACUGCCCCCUCUCCCCCGUCUGCUUUUCUUAUCUCCCCCCUCUUAAGAACAGGGGUACCAAAGUAGCAUUCAUAAUUGGCUCUUGAAAAUUAUAACUCCAUCUUACUAUUAGUGAGAACUACAGCUCCGGUCCCCAUGUGUGCUGAGGACCAUCCAGUUCCUUGGACUGUGUUGCCAGUUUUGCCUGGGAUCCUAAAUCUCAAGAAUUCAGUAGCUGAACUUGUGAGCCACAGUUCAGAUCCAUUCUGAUUGCUCCUUUGGGAGAUUUUGUGUUCAACCCAGUAAGAUUACUGCCCCACCAGUAUAUCUGAGCUGCCUGCUUCCUGUGUUCACCCGAAGUGUAAGCCGUUUUCUCUUGAGUACAGUAGAAGACUUUGCAGUACUGGUUGCGUGGCUCUAUAUAAAACACUUAGGCUCUUGGAGCCCUGAUCGACUUCACUGUAAAAUAAUGCUAAUGAUACCUUCAGUUCUUUCAACCCUGUAAGAUUCUUGUCAAUCUCAAAGGUUGUUUUUGAAAAUACUUUGCAAAUUGUAAAAAAGAAAAAAAAAACCUACUCAAGCA